rnacentral:rRNA from 1 species
UACGGGGGGAGCAAGCGUUGUUCGGAUUUACUGGGCGUAAAGGGCGCGUAGGCGGUCAGCACAAGUCAGUUGUGAAAUCUCCGAGCUUAACUCGGAAAGGUCAACUGAUACUGUGCGACUAGAGUGCGGAAGGGGCAACUGGAAUUCUUGGUGUAGCGGUGAAAUGCGUAGAUAUCAAGAGGAACACCUGCGGCGAAGGCGGGUUGCUGGGCUGACACUGACGCUGAGGCGCGAAAGCUAGGGGAGCAAACGGG